GCAAACUUGGUCAUUUAGAGGAAGUAAAAGUCGUAACAAGGUUUCCGUAGGUGAACCUGCGGAAGGAUCAUUACUGAACUGUAAACAUGAGUUGUUGCUGGUCCCUAAGCAGGGGCAUGUGCACACUCUGUUCACACAUCCACUCACACCUGUGCACAUUCUGUAGUUCUAUAGCUUGGAGGGCUCUGCCUUCCUUCUGUGGUUCUACGUUUUUACAUACACGCCGUGAUAAAGUCUUGUGGAAUGCACACCGCGUUUAACGCAAUACAAUACAACUUUCAGCAACGGAUCUCUUGGCUCUCGCAUCGAUGAAGAACGCAGC
rnacentral:misc_RNA from 1 species